CCUGUCCUUCGACAUGAACACCUAGAAGCGCGGGUCGUGGGCUCUGCUAGGCCAGGCCGCCGCCGCCUGAGACCCGAUGCCCCGCCGCGCCCAGGGCCGCAGAGGCCAGCAACGCCUGCCCGCCGGCGCCCUCUGCUGGCCGCGGCUUCCGCGGAGACGAACCGCGCAGGGCCGGGAAGGCCCCCGAUGGGGAGGCCGCGAAAACAGCCGAGGGCGGUGAAACUCCGCUUCCGGUUUCGUAUUUUGAGUUGGGGGGGGGUCAAGUUCUGUGAAACAUCCUGAACACUGAGAUCUGACAUCUCCUGAGCGCUUUCGGGUUUGCCGGGGUGCUGAGCACGGAGCGCGGCUGCGCCCACUGCCCGGCACCUUCACGCGGGCGGCCUGGGGCGUCGGGGUCCCCGCCGAGGUCCGCCCCGGCCUUUCGGGUCGCUUCUUUCACGGAGGGCGACGCGCUGCACCCUCCCGGUCCGCCCACCGCCCGCCUGCCCGGGGCGUCUCUUCCGCUGCGGGCGACCCCCAGCUCCGGACGCGGCGUCGCCCCCGGGGAGGGUCCGCCCACCUCCGGGCUGCGCGGCGCCGCGGCUCACGCACGUCUGCCCUCCCGUUUCCGUUUCCGUUCUGGGGUGCGCACUGAGAUGUUCGGUCCCUUUCGUGGGUCUCUCCUUGUCGAGUCCCCCUCCAGGUCCCGGUGAGAGGCUGAGACCAGACAGCGAAGAGCGAGCGUGGCACAAGCCCUGAAGACAGCACCCGAGAGAAGCAAGCCCCCGCCCCCGGAAGUGACAGAGUGCUCUGCUGGCAGCCCCACCUCCCAAGUCACUCGGGGAACAAUCGCCUAACUUCCCCACCACGAAGCUCCGCUUACAGUGCCCACCGAGAAGUUCAAACGUGCAGUGGAUUUAAACCUCACCUCUGGCUGCAGCCAAACACCUGCCUCCACUCUGUCCCCCCAGGCCCCUUGCCCCUAUAGGAGUCACCUAGCCAGCCCCUGGCCGCUGCUCUGCCAUUGUUCGAGACAGCCCGGCACCUGUCCCCUAAUAAAGGCUUCGUCUUGGGUGUUGUGUUUUCGGCUCAUUCUCGUCCUCUCCCAAAGCACCAAUACGCAGGGCCCCUUCCGGGGAGUCCCGGAGCAGCUGUGUGCAGCCACAGCAGAAGGGGGCUGCCGUGCUGGGGCGGGGAGCAAGCAGCAAAGGCC
rnacentral:lncRNA from 1 species